UCUCGGUAGGUGAAUCUGCGGAGGGAUCAUUACUGAGUGAGGGUCUCCGGGCCCGACCUCCAACCCCAUGUGAACCGAAACCUGGUGCUUCGGGGGCGACCCUGCCUUUCGGCGCGGCGCCCCCGGGGUCAAUCAAACACUGCAUUCUCUGCGUCGGAGUAUUAGUAAAUCUAAUCAAAACUUUCAACAACGGAUCUCUUGGUUCUGGCAUCGAUGAAGAACGCAGC
rnacentral:misc_RNA from 1 species